rnacentral:rRNA from 1 species
CUGGAGGUAUCAGAAGUGCGAAUGCUGACAUAAGUAACGAUAAAGCGGGUGAAAAGCCCGCUCGCCGGAAGACCAAGGGUUCCUGUCCAACGUUAAUCGGGGCAGGGUGAGUCGACCCCUAAGGCGAGGCCGAAAGGCGUAGUCGAUGGGAAACAGGUUAAUAUUCCUGUACUUGGUGUUACUGCGAAGGGGGGACGGAGAAGGCUAUGUUGGCCGGGCGACGGUUGUCCCGGUUUAAGCGUGUAGGCUGGUUUUCCAGGCAAAUCCGGAAAAUCAAGGCUGAGGCGUGAUGACGAGGCACUACGGUGCUGAAGCAACAAAUGCCCUGCUUCCAGGAAAAGCCUCUAAGCAUCAGGUAACAUCAAAUCGUACCCCAAACCGACACAGGUGGUCAGGUAGAGAAUACCAAGGCGCUUGAGAGAACUCGGGUGAAGGAACUAGGCAAAAUGGUGCCGUAACUUCGGGAGAAGGCACGCUGAUAUGUAGGUGAAGUCCCUCGCGGAUGGAGCUGAAAUCAGUCGAAGAUACCAGCUGGCUGCAACUGUUUAUUAAAAACACAGCACUGUGCAAACACGAAAGUGGACGUAUACGGUGUGACGCCUGCCCGGUGCCGGAAGGUUAAUUGAUGGGGUUAGCGCAAGCGAAGCUCUUGAUCGAAGCCCCGGUAAACGGCGGCCGUAACUAUAACGGUCCUAAGGUAGCGAAAUUCCUUGUCGGGUAAGUUCCGACCUGCACGAAUGGCGUAAUGAUGGCCAGGCUGUCUCCACCCGAGACUCAGUGAAAUUGAACUCGCUGUGAAGAUGCAGUGUACCCGCGGCAAGACGGAAAGACCCCGUGAACCUUUACUAUAGCUUGACACUGAACAUUGAGCCUUGAUGUGUAGGAUAGGUGGGAGGCUUUGAAGUGUGGACGCCAGUCUGCAUGGAGCCGACCUUGAAAUACCACCCUUUAAUGUUUGAUGUUCUAACGUGGACCCGUAAUCCGGGUUGCGGACAGUGUCUGGUGGGUAGUUUGACUGGGGCGGUCUCCUCCUAAAGAGUAACGGAGGAGCACGAAGGUUGGCUAAUCCUGGUCGGACAUCAGGAGGUUAGUGCAAUGGCAUAAGCCAGCUUGACUGCGAGCGUGACGGCGCGAGCAGGUGCGAAAGCAGGUCAUAGUGAUCCGGUGGUUCUGAAUGGAAGGGCCAUCGCUCAACGGAUAAAAGGUACUCCGGGGAUAACAGGCUGAUACCGCCCAAGAGUUCAUAUCGACGGCGGUGUUUGGCACCUCGAUGUCGGCUCAUCACAUCCUGGGGCUGAAGUAGGUCCCAAGGGUAUGGCUGUUCGCCAUUUAAAGUGGUACGCGAGCUGGGUUUAGAACGUCGUGAGACAGUUCGGUC